AGAGUUUGAUCCUGGCUCAGAUUGAACGCUGGCGGCAUGCUUUACACAUGCAAGUCGAACGGCAGCGCGGGGGCAACCCUGGCGGCGAGUGGCGAACGGGUGAGUAAUGUAUCGGAACGUAUCCAGUAAUGGGGGAUAACCAGUCGAAAGAUUGGGUAAUACCGCAUACGCACGAGAGUGGAAAGUAGGGGAUCGCAAGACCUUACGUUAUUGGAGCGGCCGAUAUCUGAUUAGCUAGUUGGUGGGGUAAAGGCCUACCAAGGCGACGAUCAGUAGCAGGUCUGAGAGGAUGAUCUGCCACACUGGGACUGAGACACGGCCCAGACUCCUACGGGAGGCAGCAGUGGGGAAUUUUGGACAAUGGGCGAAAGCCUGAUCCAGCCAUGCCGCGUGCAGGAAGAAGGCCUUCGGGUUGUAAACUGCUUUAGUCUAGGAAAAAGGGGUGCACGGUUAAUACCCGUGUGCUUUGAUGGUACUGGAAGAAUAAGCACCGGCUAACUACGUGCCAGCAGCCGCGGUAAUACGUAGGGUGCGAGCGUUAAUCGGAAUUACUGGGCGUAAAGCGUGCGCAGGCGGUCCGUUAAGACAGUCGUGAAAGCCCCGGGCUUAACCUGGGAACUGCGAUUGUGACUGGCGGGCUAGAGUGUGUCAGAGGGGGGUGGAAUUCCACGUGUAGCAGUGAAAUGCGUAGAGAUGUGGAGGAACACCGAUGGCGAAGCAGCCCCCUGGGAUAACACUGACGCUCAUGCACGAAAGCGUGGGGAGCAAACAGGAUUAGAUACCUGGUAGUCCACGCCCUAAACGAUGUCGACUGGUUGUUGGAUGGGUAACCAUUUAGUAACGAAGCUAACGCGUGAAGUCGACCGCCUGGGGAGUACGGUCGCAAGAUUAAAACUCAAAGGAAUUGACGGGGACCCGCACAAGCGGUGGAUGAUGUGGUUUAAUUCGAUGCAACGCGAAAAACCUUACCUACACUUGACAUGUCAGAGAUCCCGCAGAGAUGUGGGAGUGCCGCAAGGAAUCUGAACACAGGUGCUGCAUGGCUGUC
rnacentral:rRNA from 1 species